CGUAACAAGGUCUCCGUAGGUGAACCUGCGGANGNAUCAUUACACAAAUAUGAAGGCGGGCUGGAACCUCUCGGGGUUACAGCCUUGCUGAAUUAUUCACCCUUGUCUUUUGCGUACUUCUUGUUUCCUUGGUGGGUUCGCCCACCACUAGGACAAACAUAAACCUUUUGUAAUUGCAAUCAGCGUCAGUAACAAAUUAAUAAUUACAACUUUCAACAACGGAUCUCUUGGUUCUGGCAUCGAUGAAGAACGCAGCGAAAUGCGAUAAGUAGUGUGAAUUGCAGAAUUCAGUGAAUCAUCGAAUCUUUGAACGCACAUUGCGCCCUUUGGUAUUCCANAGGGCAUGCCUGUUCGAGCGUCAUUUGUACCCUCAAGCUUUGCUUGGUGUUGGGCGUCUUGUCUCUAGCUUUGCUGGAGACUCGCCUUAAAGUAAUUGGCAGCCGGCCUACUGGUUUCGGAGCGCAGCACAAGUCGCACUCUCUAUCAGCAAAGGUCUAGCAUCCAUUAAGCCUUUUUUUUCAAUUUUUGACCUCGGAUCAGGUAGGGAUACCCGCUGAACUUAAGCAUAUCA
rnacentral:rRNA from 1 species